CAAGUGCAAUUGCAUCAGCGAAGGUGUGAGAGUGAGGCGAGGGAUCAUGAAGCCGAGAAGGAAGGCCUCAAAGAGCAAAUUGCAGAUCUCCAGGAAUGCAAUGCAACUUUACAGUCUCGUCUGGAAGAAGAAGGGCGCAAGAAUCGAGCACUGACGAGGCAGAUCCGAGAGAAGGAGAGCGAGCUCACACGAGCAGAGGCAGAGCACAAUGAAAGAGUGAAAAGUCUCAAAAGAAGGGAAAAAAGGAAAGAGGAAGAGGCAGACGAAGAGAGAGGCGAGCUUGAGAGCGAGCUCAGGCGACGAGACAAGAAGAUCGAGGCCCUCAA